GCCCUCGUAGCAUAGUAGCUAUUGCGUCGGUUUCGUAAACCGAAGGUCAUGGGUGCAACUCCCAUCGAGGGCU
rnacentral:tRNA from 1 species